UACGAAGGGUGCAAGCGUUACUCGGAAUUACUGGGCGUAAAGCGUGCGUAGGCGGUCUGUUAAGUCCGUUGUGAAAGCCCUGGGCUCAACCUGGGAAUUGCAGUGGAUACUGGCAGGCUAGAGUACGGUAGAGGAUGGUGGAAUUCCCGGUGUAGCGGUGAAAUGCGUAGAGAUCCGGAGGAACACCAGUGGCGAAAGCGGCCACCUGGGCUGUACCUGACGCUGACACGCGAAAGCUAGGGGAGCGAACGGG
rnacentral:rRNA from 1 species